AAUAAAUGCAGUUUUGCACUAUUCACGUUCAACAUUUGACCGUCCGUCUUAUUUGAAAAAUUUGUGAAAAAUUAAAAACAUUUAGUCGCACAUAAAGUACUAUUCAUGUUUUAUCAUCUAAUAGCAAUAAAAAUACUAAUCAUAAAAAAUUUUCAAAUAAGACAGACGGUCAAACGUUGAACAUGAAUAGUGCAAAACUGCACUUAUU
rnacentral:pre_miRNA from 1 species